UCGUGUAUUAUGUAUAGGUGGUCAGCCCUCUAAUAAGGGUAAAGAUAUUGUGCCCGAGGACCAAGAAUAAGAGUACUCCAAACUCCUGCUAUUGUGAGUAAUCAGAUGUUCAUCUUAAUUAUCUAAAGUGGUUUAUACUUGUUUUAAGAUUUUAAAGAAUAAGGCACUUAAUAUGCAAAUUAUUAUGUUUUACAUUUUAAAUGUUGGUUAAAUGAAUGAGGUUUAUAAAUUAUUCUGAAACUAAAUGUUGAUUUUCGAAAUAGAGUAAGUGGAGGCUAUACAUUCGUAUUAUAUAUAUACAUGAUUUGAAUUGAUGGCUUAUGAAAUUGUGGUAGCAUAAAUGGCUGAAAUUAUGGUUUUGUGAAUUAUAUAAAUUGUUUUGUCUUACAUUGACAGAUUGGAUAGUACUAUAUUAGCCAUGUUAUGCUGCCGAAAUUUUAUUGAUUUGGUGGGUUAUGUAUUUAGCUUACUACAGUGGGCGGGUUUCUGUGGACCGACCUAUUAGAGGGGCACGGUAAACCCUGUUAUAUUUUACCUUAGUACGAGAGGCGCGGAGGGUAUCUCUUAAGGUAAGUUUAGAGUUCACUUCACACCGAAUCACCACGUGAGGAUGAACCUCAACCAACGCCAAGGAAUGGCUAUAUUUUAAAAGUAAAAAUAUGUUUUAUGGGUAUAUGUCGUUUAACAUCCUUGGCGGACUCGGUUGGAUGCUUGGGCCAAGGUGUUACUGAGUAUGAGUUUUGGCACAAGCUAAGUUUUUAAGAGAAUCAUAAGCCUUGUUGAUUAUUUUGAUGAAAUGUAAUUGUUUUAUAAGAAUUGAAAUGAGUUUUGAAUGUUAUGAACUAUAUUAUGAUGGGAUGAUUUAAUUGUCUUAAUUUACUCGGCUUUAGAUGUUAUAGGUGAAUUUUGCUUACUCACUGGGUUUGUAAAAACUCACCCCUUCUUUUUAUCCAUUUCAGGCUCAGGACAAUCUGUAGACAGCCAAUUUUGUCGAGGGUUGCUUUCGAAUUUGCAUCCUUAGAAAUCGAAGGUCUACAGUCUUGUAUAUUUACGGUUAUUAUGGGGUUCACAUGUCAUUGUAGAAUAUUUUGUAUACCUGGCUACGUGUGCCACUGUAUGUAUGAAUUUAUUUUGCUUUUACGCUAUAAAAAUUAUUUACGCA
rnacentral:lncRNA from 1 species